AUACGGAGGAUGCGAGCGUUAUCCGGAUUUAUUGGGUUUAAAGGGAGCGUAGGUGGGAUAUUAAGUCAGCUGUGAAAGUUUGGGGCUCAACCUUAAAAUUGCAGUUGAUACUGGUUUCCUUGAGGACGGUACAGGUGGGCGGAAUUCGUGGUGUAGCGGUGAAAUGCUUAGAUAUCACGAAGAACUCCGAUCGCGAAGGCAGCUCACCGGGCCGGAACUGACACUGAUGCUCGAAAGUGCGGGUAUCAAACAGGAUUAGAUACCCUGGUAGUCCGCACAGUAAACGAUGAAUACUCGCUGUUUGCGAUACACUGUAAGCGGCCAAGCGAAAGCGUUAAGUAUUCCACCUGGGGAGUACGCCGGCAACGGUGAAACUCAAAGGAAUUGACGGGG
rnacentral:rRNA from 1 species